rnacentral:rRNA from 1 species
GGGAGUAACUAUGACUCGCUUAAGGUAGCCAAAUGCCUCGCAAUCCAAUUAGUGGAGCGUGGGGUAUGCCAUGGUAGUAAACAAUUUCGACCUGAACUCAGACGUGAUUACUCGCUGAACUUAAGCAUAUCAGUAAGCGGAGGAAAAGAAACUAAAAAGGAUUCCCGUAGUAACGGCGAGUGAACUGGGAAUAGUCCAGCGCUGAAUCGUGGUGCCUCCGGUACUGUGAGGUGUAGCGUACAGACAACAAUCUUGGGUGGCCACUCCGUUCAAAUUCCCCUUGAUCGGGGUCCCGUAGAAGGUGCAAGGCCUGUCCAACGGAUGUCUACCAGUCCAUCUUUGCUUGUCUUGGAGUCGGGUUGUUUGGGAUCGCAGCCCAAAGCAGGUGGUAAACUUCAUCUAAGACUGAAUAUGAUCACGAGUCCGAUAGCGAACAAGUACCGUGAGGGAAAGUUGCAAAGCACUUUGAAGAGAGAGUUAAACAGGACGUGAAACCGAUGAGGUGGAAACGGACAGAGUCGGCGUAUCUAGCCUGUAUUCAACUGGAGACCCAAGCACAUUGGGUAGGCCUUUUCCAGAUUGGACAGGCAAUCCAACUGUUUGGGAGUCUACAGUGCAUUUGCAAGUGGAGUGCGCUGAGGUGGUCGGGUUAGCUGCUUGAUCUCGGGUUUGAGGCCAGCCCCUCGGGGUAUGGUACCCGGCUCGGGGGAGUGCUGUUUAGCCUGUUCAACUUGUAUGGAAAUGGUAUCGGGUCCGGCUGGUAUCCAGCUAACAACUGGUGGCGGUCGCAUGCGACACGUACUAGUGGUUGGUUGGGUCCUGGUCUGGCUCCCAUGUUUUCCAAUCCUCGGUGUAAAAACCGGUCAUCUGUCCGACCCGUCUUGUAACACGGACCAAGGAGUUUAGCGUGUGCGCGAGUCAUUGGGUGUUGGAAACUCAAAGGCGCAAUGAAAGUGAAGGUCUCUCUUGUGGAGCUGAUGUGUGACCCGGAUCACCGAGGUGGCCCGGAGCAACAUGGUCCCGUCCUGAUCGCUUGCGAUGGGGCGGAGACAGAGCGUACGCGCUGAGACCCGAAAGAUGGUGAACUAUUCCUGAGCAGGACGAAGCCAGAGGAAACUCUGGUGGAAGUCCGAAGCGAUUCUGACGUGCAAAUCGAUCGUCUGACUUGGGUAUAGGGGCGAAAGACUAAUCGAACCAUCUAGUAGCUGGUUCCCUCCGAAGUUUCCCCCAGGAUAGCUGGAGCUUGUCUAGAGCAGUUAUACUCGGUAAAGCGAAUGAUUAGAGGACUUGGGGACGAAAUGUCCUUAACCUAUUCUCAAACUCUAAAUGGGUAUGAAGCCAGAGUUGCUUGACUCUGUGAACCCAGGCAUUGAAUGCUGAAGCUCCAAGUGGGCCAUUUUUGGUAAGCAGAACUGGCGAUGUGGGAUGAACCAAACGCAGAGUUAAGGUGCCAAAGUGCCCGCUCAUUAGACCCCAUAAAAGGUGUUGGUCGAUAUAGACAGCAGGACGGUGGCCAUGGAAGUCGGAAUCCGCUAAGGAGUGUGUAACAACUCACCUGCCGAAUCAACUAGCCCUGAAAAUGGAUGGCGCUGGAGCGGGCCACCUAUACUUUGCCGUCAUCGGCUUGUACUGUGCUCCAGGGCACAAGUCUGGCCAUGACGUGUAGGAGGGUCGUGGCGGUAGCGUUGAAGGCUUUGGGCGUGGGCCCAGCUGGAGCUGCCGUCAGUGCAGAUCUUGGUGGUAGUAGCAAAUAUUCAAGUGAGAUCCUUGAAGACUGAAGUGGAGAAGGGUUCCACGUGAACAGCAGUUGAAUGUGGGUCAGCCGAUCCUAAGGCACCGGCUAACGCCGUCACAUACUACGGAUGAAGAUUUGGUGCGCUAGCGUUACCGGUCCAUCCGGUUGCCGAAAGGGAAGUGGGUUAAUAUUCCCACGCCAGGCCAGGGAGAUGGUGGUCCGCAAGGGCCACUUUGCGCGGUAACGCAAAUGAACUCGCAGACGUUGUGUGGAGUCCGGGCCAGAGUUCUCUUUUCUGGUUGAGGACGCGUGUCCCUGGAAUUGGUUCAGCCUGAGAUAGGGAUGUUGUGUCCGUAAAGCAUCGCGGUUCCUGCGGUGUCCCGAGCGCUCCAUACGAACCGUGAAAAUGCGAGGGAAGCAAUGUGAAUUUCCUGCCUGAUCGUACCGAUAUCCGCAGCAGGUCUCCAAGGUGAACAGCCUCUAGUCGAUAGAAUAAUGUAGGUAAGGGAAGUCGGCAAAUUAGAUUCGUAACUUCGGGAAAAGAAUUGGCUCUAAAGGUCGGAUCGGCCGGGCUGUUGUGUGAAACAGGCGGCUUUUGCCCGUGGCUGCGUGCCGGCCCUCCGGGACUGGCGCGUGGACUGGUGGUGAGGGCUGCUUGUGGAGCGCUUCAGCUGCGUGUACGCUCGCAAGGGCGUGCACUUCGGUCGGUAACGAACGACCAGUUUAGAACUGGCACGAACUCGGGGAAUCCGACUGUCUAAUUAAAACAGAGGAGACGGAUGGUCCUUGUGGACGUUGACCGUGUCUGAUUUCUGCCCAGUGCUCUGAAUGUUAAGCCAAGGAAACUUGAUUAAGCGCGGGUAAACGGCGGGAGUAACUAUGACUCUCUUAAGGUAGCCAAAUGCCUCGCCAUCCAAUUAGUGGCGCGCACGAAUGGAUCAACGAGAUUCCCACUGUCCCUAUCUACUAUCUAGCGAAACCACAGCCAAGGGAACGGGCUUGGCAAAUUUAGCGGGGAAAGAAGACCCUGUUGAGCUUGACUCUAGUCUGACUUUGUGAAGAAUCAUGAGAGGUGUAGCAUAAGUGGGAGCCGCAAGGCGCCAGUGAAAUACCACUACUUUCAUCGAUUCCUUACUUAAUCGGUAAAACGGGAGUGCGCCCGCAUGGGUGUCCAUUUUGGUGUUAAGGCGGGAAAGAAGACCCUGUUGAGCU